rnacentral:rRNA from 1 species
UACGAGGGGGGCAAGCGUUGUUCGGAAUUAUUGGGCGUAAAGGGUGCGUAGGUGGUCGGGUAAGUCUGAUGUGAAAUCUCCGAGCCUAACUCGGAAACUGCAUCGGAUACUAUUCGGCUUGAGGGUUGGAGGGGGGACUGGAAUACUUGGUGUAGCAGUGAAAUGCGUAGAUAUCAAGUGGAACACCAGUGGCGAAGGCGAGUCCCUGGACAACUCCUGACACUGAGGCACGAAAGCUAGGGGAGCAAACAGG